AUUGAACGCUGGCGGCAGGCCUAACACAUGCAAGUCGAGCGAGUGGCGGACGGGUGAGUAAUGUAUGGGGAACUGCCCGAUAGAGGGGGAUAACUACUGGAAACGGUAGCUAAUACCGCAUACAAUCGGAUGAGCCCAUAGGGGAUUAGCUAGUAGGUGGGGUAACGGCUCACCUAGGCGACGAUCCCUAGCUGGUCUGAGAGGAUGACCAGCCACACUGGAACUGAGACACGGUCCAGACUCCUACGGGAGGCAGCUGUGGGGAAUAUUGCACAAUGGGCGCAAGCCUGAUGCAGCCAUGCCGCGUGUAUGAAGAAGGCCGUCGGGUUGUAAAGUACUUUCAGCGAGGAGGCGUUACUCGCAGAAGAAGCACCGGCUAACUCCGUGCCAGCAGCCGCGGUAAUUC
rnacentral:rRNA from 1 species